UCUUCCUAGUAGACACGUUUUAAAAACUUUGAGAGAAACUUCGAAGGGAAAAAUUUAAAGAGGACAAUAUCUAUUAGAGGUGGGCAUGGGCCGUUACCGUAGAUCUUAACUUGGAUGAUCAAGUUGAACUAAGAAAAAAGAACUUUGGAGCACCAUAUAAGCCUGAUGAUUGAAUCAAGGGGUUUGACUGCUAAAAGUUAUUGGAAUAAGGAUUCAUUUGUUGUUGGAAUCAUCGUGGAGAUUGAAUGGCUUCUCAUCUGGUUUAUAUAUUAUAUAACUUAUUGACAUGUGUGUUCUUACGCCAUAUCCACUUUCUCAAUGCAUACACCAACCGAUCGAGAAAGCAGAGGUAUGCAGCUAUGGACAAAAUAUUAUCAUAAAAUACAAGAUUGUGGGUGGCCGACGGUGAACCGAAAGGUCCCGAACCGUUCGGAAUCCGCCGCGUGGACGGCAGAGAAAAGAAUCCAUCAUUAGAAACAACUGAAAAGACCUGACCCAUUUCGGCAAAUUCUGAUUCAGUCGAAGCUUUUGAGUGAAAAUGGGUUACCUAAUUCGCACAGUUCCUCCACUAUGGCGCUGAGUAAUUGCUUCAAUGAUGAGGAGAAUGACGCGGAGUGUGUGCGGUCUGAUCUGUCUUUGAUUUCCACUUGGGAUUCACUGUUACUCAGUUCCAAUUUUCCAUUUGUCACCACAAAUUCACUCGCUAAGAGCGAAGAUUUCUCCGAAAGCUUCUGGGUUUUCACGGUGCAGGAGGAUCAGAAACUAAGCUCAUGAUCAUUCAUUAGUUGGAUUCUGGUCUUGAAUUGCUCCUAUGAAGAUGAUGAUCGUCCUUCCCAGCUGCUGGCUUGGAACAUGGAGCAGCCAUUUGCUUGCUCCAAGUUCAAUGAAGUGAUUCAACCUGGCAUCUGGGGAACUUGAUACAGGACACUUCUCUUAUCUGCAGCAGCCUGAGAUUCAUUCUGAAACAAGGACAAGGGUUGGCUUCUUUGAAUUUGCAGCUAUAAGAGGUGUGUUUUUCUUUUCAAAGCAAGAAACAUUCAUGUUCUAGGUUUCAAGGUUACUAAAGUUACUCGUUGUGAGCUAAAUUGAUUGUAGAUCAACGGUAAUUAACAUAUACUCAAGUUAAAAUUUUAUAAGCUAUUUGAUCACACGAAAGCUUUUGUUUGUUGCUUCGUUGAAUUGUGCAGCCAAAAGAGCUCGGUUCUUCUUUCGAAAGCAAGAAACCUUCGUGUUCUAUGUUUCAAAG